rnacentral:lncRNA from 1 species
UGCAUAUGGUGCCAUCUAGUAGAAAGCAGAAUCUGCUAGUCUGCCUCCACACUGAUCAGAUUGUACCUAUGAUUAUGUGUGCCAUUCAUCAUCUAGGAUUACUUCCUGUUCAUGGUCCAUCUACCCUGCCACUAGAAAGUUAGAUUCUCUCUCAAAUUUAUUCUAUCAACUGCUGGGCACAAAGAACAUUUGUAUCUCCUGAUUUACACUGGAAAAUUCAAUGGCCAGUUUCUACUUGGACUACAGCUAUGCAACUAUUCAAUUUGCUAAGGAAUCAAUUAUGUUCAGAGGAAAUGCCUGCCUGCCUAGCCUGUGCCUAUAACCCAGCUCUCCAGCAGAAAGAAGCAUCUGUAGUUCAAGCCAGACUAGGACACAAAGCGAGGCUCUCUUACUUGGAAAGAAAGAAUAAAUGAAUGGUUUCUCUUCG